rnacentral:rRNA from 1 species
UACGUAGGUGGCAAGCGUUAUCCGGAAUUACUGGGCGUAAAGCGUCCGCAGGCGGUGCGUUAAGUUUGACGUGAAAGCUCCCGGCUUAACUGGGAGAGGUCGUUGAAGACUGGCGAACUUGAGGCCAGGCGAGGGGUGUAGAAUUCCCGGUGUAGUGGUGGAAUGCGUAGAGAUCGGGAGGAAUACCAGUGGCGCAAGCGGCACCCUAGCCUGUGCCUGACGCUCAGGGGCGAAAGCGUGGGGAGCGAACGGG